AUUGAACGCUGGCGGCAGGCCUAACACAUGCAAGUCGAGCGGAUGAAGGGAGCUUGCUCCUGGAUUCAGCGGCGGACGGGUGAGUAAUGCCUAGGAAUCCGCCUGGUAGUGGGGGAUAACGUCCGGAAACGGGCGCUAAUACCGCAUACGUCCUGAGGGAGAAAGUGGGGGAUCUUCGGACCUCACGCUAUCAGAUGAGCCUAGGUCGGAUUAGCUAGUUGGUGGGGUAAAGGCCUACCAAGGCGACGAUCCGUAACUGGUCUGAGAGGAUGAUCAGUCACACUGGAACUGAGACACGGUCCAGACUCCUACGGGAGGCAGCAGUGGGGAAUAUUGGACAAUGGGCGAAAGCCUGAUCUAGCCAUGCCGCGUGUGUGAAGAAGGUCUUCGGAUUGUAAAGCACUUUAAGUUGGGAGGAAGGGCAGUAAGUUAAUACCUUGCUGUUUUGACGUUACCAACAGAAUAAGCACCGGCUAACUUCGUG
rnacentral:rRNA from 1 species